rnacentral:tRNA from 1 species
GCCGAAGUGGCGGAAUUGGCAGACGCGCUAGGUUCAGAUCCUAGUGGGAUUUAUUUCCCGUGGAGGUUCAAGUCCUCUCUUCGGCA